CCUACGGGAGGCUGCAGUAGGGAAUAUUGCUCAAUGGGGGAAACCCUGAAGCAGCAACGCCGCGUGGAGGAUGAAGGUUUUCGGAUUGUAAACUCCUUUUGUUAGAGAAGAUAAUGACGGUAUCUAACGAAUAAGCACCGGCUAACUCCGUGCCAGCAGCCGCGGUAAUACGGAGGGUGCAAGCGUUACCCGGAAUCACUGGGCGUAAAGAGCGCGUAGGCGGGAUAGCAAGUCAGAUGUGAAAGCCUAUGGCUUAACCAUAGAACGGCAUUUGAAACUGUUAUUCUAGAGUAUGGGAGAGGUAGGUGGAAUUCUUGGUGUAGGAGUAAAAUGCGUAGAGAUCGAGAGGAAUACUCAUGGCGAAGGCGACCUGCUAGAACAUAACUGACGCUGAUGCGCGAAGGCGUGGGGAGCAAACAGGAUUAGAUACCCCAGUAGUC
rnacentral:rRNA from 1 species